GCUUACUUAAUACAUUACAAAACUCUAUCUCUCCAAACCAUUCUCACUCUUAACUCCAUUUUGAAGUCUCCAUUACGGACGGUGGUGACGCUGUUGCCGAUGAUAGUGGCGCUCGGUGGUGUCGCUGUUUAAUUGAGGAAUCAUUUUCCAAGAGGAAUAUUAUUUGGAGAAGUUGGAGCGGAAUUCUCAAGGUAACGAUCUUAUUCAAACCAGAAAAGUUAUGCACGGGUUGUGUAAGAUCACUAGUUGGUCUAUCCGGUAAGGAGGGCGCCACAGUUUCAGCAGCACUUGUUAUGCAACUGAGAGAAGAUUGUGAGGAUUUGCGGGGAAGAAUAAAAGCUAGUUCGCUCAAGAGGCCUACUGUUGUGGCAAAGAUAGUUUGGCUCUACAACUAGAAACAGUCCUGGACUUCUGUGAUGAAGCAUGCUCGAAGGAUAGAGCUGUUAUCCAAGAAGACGACCAGUAACUGAAGCAUUCUGGUAAAGCUCUUAUAGAUAGUUACUUUUAAUUUGAGGCUAGGGGUUUUAGUGUAUGUUCAUGACAAUUGAAAUAACUUUGUGCCGACAAUGAUAACUGAUUAUUUCUGCUUGCUGUAUCAGAACUACAAACAUAUUCUUGUGUCUUAACAGGCUCAGCUUGUUGUUUUUCGUGCCAUAUAUGUUCUGAAUUGACAGCUUCCAGGAUAGUUCUGGUGAAUCAAAUAAACAUGACUAUGGAGAGUGUGUUAACAUUGUUUUCAAAUAAACAUGACUAUUCAUAAAUUUAGUUCUUUCUUUUUCAGGUGGUUAGUAAAGAAAAUCAAUGGCAUCAAAAGGUAAUGUUAAUGGACUGCGUAAGAAAAGUAAGAAAGGACCUGAUAAUCUUCCUAUCUUCCUGUAAAUGUAGGUCAAUAUAUACAACCACCUGUUACCACGACUCUUCAACCAGCUUCUACAAAUAUUUCCCCUCCAUAUUAACUAUUUCACUACCAAAUGCAUUUUUCAUGCUUCCACAGUCUGACCAGUUCUACAUCUCUUCUUCCCAAAAUAAUCUGCAUAGUAGCUCUUCAUCUAUGCCUUUGACAUCAUCCACAUCAAGCCUUUCUUUCUGGAUUGAGAAUUGGAGGUCCUAACACAUCAACAUCGCCAUCCAUUAUAGUGCUACAACUUCUAAUGCUACAACAGCUGCUUCUUAAAAUUUGCAAUUUAAAGAGGUAUUAGAAUAUGACAAGUUUGGGAGGCUACGAAUCGUCUCUUAUUGUGAUGGGUAAUUAACCCUUAAGUUUUUCCUUAGUAUUUUUUUUUUUCUUCAAAUUGGGGACAGGGAAAGGGGAAUGGGGGAGGGGAUUACAAUGUGGGGAAUCGAACUUUCACCAAUAAGGUGGAAGUUCAGGUAACUAACCAACUAAGCUACUAAGAUUCCCCUUAGUUUUUAAAAGCUAAGAUGAUGGUUUAAUAUAAUUUUAUUGCAGGUUCAUUCCAGCAUAUGCCGCCGGGCAUAUGGUUAAAGAAGUAAUUAAAUCAUUUUUCAAAAAGCCGUGAAAUAGUUGGUUAGAGAUUCCAUACGAAAUUAGAAUUGACAUGUGGAAACAAUUUAUAGUAUAAGCAGUUUUAUAAGCUAUGAAUAUGAUUGCCUAAAAGUUUUUCUAUU